CUGAAACUGAGGACGCUUGGACGAGCUGUAGAAUAGCAGCACUGAGGAAAAUUGUUGUCUCAGCUUGCUUGCCAUUGUGAAUUUUCUAUGGAAGAGACAAACGAUAUGCCAGCACUUGGAACAAGCAUAUAAGAUCAAUCUGCAAGUUGAAUUUAACCAGCAGUGGAAUCUUGGAGGAAAAGGAGAGCUUGCAGUUGUCAGAGCGAGCCAGCAUCUUCUGUAACACAUCAAACUACCACAUGAUUUCACGCAUGGUUUUAUGAUUAGAAGCUGCUCUACACAAGUUUUAUUGACCUUUCUAUGGAUUAAAGUAGUCAGCAAUAAGGCCUGAGAGGUCAUGGUAUAAAGAUGAUCUGUACAUCAACAGCCAGGCUGCGAGUGAGGUAAGUGUGUACAGUGUGUUGGAACUGUACAAAAGGAAAACUUCAACUUUUAGUACACGGACCUCGUCAUUUUUCAGUUUCAACCCUAACCACAUAAGCAAGACAACUCUUCAAAAGAAAUAUCCAGUUCUCCAAAAGCGACAAUCCCAAGAUCGACUAUGAUGGUGUUCCAUACAUGCUUGGGGGUCAGAACAUUAUGGAAAAUCAAUGAGCACAUACCUUGCUCAGUAGACGGGCGGGGGGGGGGCAAAGCUGCAAGAUUCAAAGAACAAGGGCUGUGAAUAAACCAUAUCAGUCUAACAGAUACUGUAUGUACAGUGCCUUCAGAAAGUAU